CACAAUUCCUGUGUGUCAUGGGAGGAACCCAGUGGGAGGUGAUUGAAUUAUGGGGGCAGGUCUUUCCUGCACUGUUCUCAUGAUAGUGAAUGAGUCUCAUGAAAUCUGAUGGUUUUAAAAACAGGAGUUUCCCUGAACAAGCUCUCUUUGCCUGCUGCCAUCCAUGUAAGACGUGACUUAUUCCUCCUUGCCUUCCGCCAUGAUUGUGAGGCCUCCCCAGCCAUUCAGAACUGUAAGUUCAUUAAACUUCUUUUUCUUCCCAGUCUCAGGUGUGUCGUUAUCAGCAGCAUGAAAACAGACUAAUACAUGUCAUUUCCCUGUAAUGAUCCUUAACUGUGAGGACGAUUAUAUAUUGAAACCUGAGUCAUUCUAGAAAAUCAUUGAAUAUGUGGUGGUCGUGGGGACCUCCAAAAAAGUCGUGAUGUAUUAUUUUUAAUGUGCUACUGGAUUGUGUUUGCUAAUAUUUUAUUUUCUUUAUCAAUAUUCUUAACUUCAAUUCCCCUUUAUCAAACUUUUACUGAAAGCUUUUCCAACAUUCACAUUGUUCUAGAUAUCUUGACAUAUAGCAACUUCUGUACUCUUUUGAGGAAUUCAUGACAACCUCUUUUACAGGUGAGAAUACUGUUGCCCACAGAGGUGGAGUGACUCACACAAAGUUCUAUAGCUACUGACUGUAUAGCAGAGAGGGGAGCCAGGGCUGUCUGCCUCCCAGUUAGGGUGACCAUUCUGGUUUGCCCUGGAUUGAGGGGUUUUCUCCAGGCUGAGGGGUUUCCUGGGACAUGGGACUUUGAGUACUAAAACAGAGAUAGUCCUGGACAAAUCAGGACUGUUGGUCACCCUACUUAAGUCUACAGCUUUUAAAAAAAAUACUUUAUCCAAGUGGAUGCUUCUAUUUUCAUGAAAGAAAGCUUGUCCCCAUUAGGAUUUGGGCAUAUUUAGACACAAAUUGGAAGUGCCAGACACCUGGUCUUUCAAGGAGAACAAUUUCCAAAUUCCUUUUCUGAGUGCCAUACAUUCUGCAUCUCCCAACCUAGUUUGCUUUGUGCUUGGCUCUUUGCUCUUCUCCACCAAGCCCCCCCUCCCCCCGCUCUGCCCACCACAUUUUUCAACAUUACUGGUUUUAAUUUCCUUUACCAUCCCCGUUGCAAAAACUUCUUUCCUGAUUUAAUUACUAUUUCUCUUAAUUCAAUUUUAUGCUCUUGAUUGUCGUUAAACUCCUAAAGUUGUUUCUCCAAAGAAUUUAAUGGCUAGGCCUUGUGCUUAGAGAUUAAUUGUUGUCAUUUUGCUUUCAAGCACAGGUACUUUCUUACUUCUCUUCAGUUAUCUUUGGGAGAAAGGAAAGUGACCAUCCUUCUUCCCAGGGCUGCUCUGAGAACAAACACUGCCGGGGGCUGCCUUUUGAGAGAGAGAGAAAGCCAGACCUCUUAAAUUUGUCUUCCACCUUCUACUGACUCUAAUCUCAGCAUCUGUGAAUAGCCAGAGAACCUCUGGCUCCUCAGGUGAGGGUUCCAGACUCCAGAGUCUCCCUUUACCUAGUUCUUGGGAGUCUAGUGCAGCUGAAGACGAGGUACUGCGGAUGAAGAGGAAGACGAGGUACUGCGGAUGAAGAGAAACCCAGAUGAUCCAGGCACAUUUUAUAGACAAGGCCUCAACGACCCCAAAGGAACCUUUGAAAUCACCCUUUUCCUGGGUUCACGACGACUUGUAAACGAUACCAUCCAUCCCUGCUUAUUCAUAGUUAUUAAAUACCAGAAUAAAGAGAUUAGAGCUCAUGAGGUGCUUCGUCCCCAUCACUCGGGCUGCUUGGCUGCAUUUAUGAUGAGAAGGCUCUGGGUGUUUAAUAAAGUAUCUGAUAUGUCUAAUAAAAUCCUCCCAUGGCCCUGCUGAUGUUACUAUAAUAGCUUCAUGUCACAUGCUCUUGUGCUAUUGAGCCAGUACCAGAACAUAUUUUAAAUUCUUAUUAUGUCUAUUUAAUUUUUAUUUAAAGGAAAUUUUCAAGGUUUAAAGCAGGUACCGAGGUACCUAGGUGUGAAGACCUAGAAAUGUGCUGUAAUAUUUAUCAAAAUAGUAAUGGAGUGAUUUAAGGAUAGUAUAGGAAUAAGCAACUGUGCAUUCGUGGCUUAUCUAGUUAUAGAUCUGUACUGUUCCCCUAAGAACUGCAAUUUGUGAAAUAAUGGCUUCUCAUU
rnacentral:lncRNA from 1 species